GGUUUGGAGGACAACAGGCUUUGCUUGGCAUCCAGAGCCCCUAAAGAGCUGAAUUGCAGAAGAGCCAUGGGUCUUCUCCCUUUGCAACAUCCCCAUCCAUCAUCUGUUAGGAAUAUGGAUCGUGAUCAUGGGACUGGACUGUUGGAGGCAGAGGUUUGUGCCUUCUGUCACUAAGCCAUUGGAUGUCUCCAGAAGUGGAUUCCUUGAAUCUGAGAUCACUAAAAAUUAACUUCCCUUCUACUCAUCCAUAAAAAUUCUCAGUGAUCUGCUAAUAUCUAUAAUGGCUUGUUUGAAGUUUGUCACUUUAUUGAUUUAGCAAGAUAAUGGCUCUGCUGGCUGAUUGUCACACCUGGCCAAACCCCAGGUGAAGGACGGGAGCUUCAGAGCAGCCCAUGACAACAUAGAGCAGUGAUGACUGCAGGGGGCUGGGAUCUGUGCAUGGAGUUUGUAACACCUGUGGCUCUCAGUCCCACACAGGUGAGCUGAGUUUUGUGGUUCAGUUCCCCACUCACACAGCGCAGAUUCAAUUUUUGAGGACCCUGCAACUUUACUCAUCUUAGGGGGACAAAUUAUUGGAUGUCUGCUGAAGCUGGAAAGCUUUAUUUAGAGAAGGAAUUGCAUUUUGGUGCUUGUCUAGAGGAGAGGAAUGCUCUUUGGUGUUGGAUGAGCUAUAUGACACUGCUUAGAGUCACAUCAGCAUUCAGUAGGACACACUGCUGGAACGAGAGCAAGCUUAUGAUGCUGAGGGAUCUCCUGGGUUCAACUGGAGCAGAAAUACCUCGUGGUUUCUCUACAUCUGGGGGGAAUUAAUAAGUCCUGAAACACAUGAAGAUUAAUAAUAAGAAUAAAAAGCUUUCCUUCCACCCCCCAUCACCUCCUCCCACUGACACGAUUUAAAGAUUUAAAAUCAGUCUGUACCGCAGCCAGAGAUUGGAGUUACGAUUGUAAUGUUUCCAUUUAGAACAAGGAAAUUGAA